GCUGAAGGCGUUGGAUCGUUGAAUGUCUUUAUUUGGCUCAUAUUCAUCCAUCACAUCAAACAUUUCUCUUGCUAUCUUAAUCAUGCAGGGUAGAACUUGUGCAGAUCUCUCAUUGUUCCCAUCACCAGCUGCAACACAGAUAAAUGUUCAGAGAUUCAAGGCAUGGUCCCGUGUUCUAACUUCAUUCAACAGACGAUGAAGUUCUAUGGUACCUCGUUUAUGCUCAGAGAAGCAUCGAAAGGUGGUAGGUCAAUGAUGUCUCUAAAGGUAAUGAUUUUCUUCCUAAGCUCCAUCAUCAAAAUGAAGUUGCCUGAAGAUCCACGUGAAUGUGAACAUUCCAUCUUCUGUUCUUCUGAUUCCUUCUUCUUAUCCUUGACCAAGUGGGCUCUUUUCACUACCUGCAAUAGUACUCUUGUUUCUGUCAGCAUUGAUAAGCCAAUGUUGUUACCGGAUGUUCCUAAUUUAUCAUACAUUAAAAUCAAGUUGACAUGAGCGAAAAACAUUAAAAAUUCCACAGAAUCAUAUAUCCCAUGCGUGAUUGUAUUAAUUUUAUUAGAUGGAAUAAAGGUUUCGAGAUACAAACUCUUGAAGCUAGAUUAUUAAGAUUCUGAUACAAAAACUAUUUCAAUUCUGCAAAUUUAGAUGAAUUCGAGGAAAAAGAAACCAAAGCUAACAUUAGAAAGUCUAUAGGAAUGAAAAAACAAAAAUGAUAGGGACUUAGUCAAGGAGCAGGGAAGUGCCAUGAAAUGGUUAUCAGAGGAACAUAAACCUUCCUGGCAUGAAAACACAUAUGACUACGCAGAAUAUAGUUGACAAGAUGUACAUAAAAUUUAGUGGAGAACUCAUGGUAUUAGCCUGUGGCUAAAGCAUUCUCUCACUUUGGAACAAAUAUUUUCUCUACAUUAUGAAUCAUAAUUACCAGCAUAUUAUCGAGAUAGCAAGUGAAAAACAUAAAAAAGAAAAACUGGAAAAC